GGAUGUGAGGGCAAUCUGGUUGUGACAUCUGUCACCCCCCAUUGAUUGCCAAGGUUGAUUCAGCUGAUAUGGCUGGCUAGGUGGGUGUCCCCUUCCCUCCUCACCACUCCAUGUGUGCCCCUCUGGAAGCUGCAUGAUCCUUUGAAGAGGACGGCCUUCCCUGAAUAGAGAUGGACUAGUCUUGGUCUUUGGUGGAGAGUAUACGAGUUGUUGGAGAGUAUAUGAGUAGCUGCGCUCCCCUGCUAGAACCUCCUCCAAACAAACCUCCAAACUGGGAUUUACUAGGUGAGGAGAUAGUGUAGCAAUUAUGUGUAAGGCUCCAAG
rnacentral:snRNA from 1 species